CAAAACAUUUAGGGCCAUUCGAAACCAUUCAGAUUAUUGACUCCACCUCCAGCUAAACGAGAUCAAACAGCCUUGUCUUUUUCCCUCUGCCUUUGUAACUAACCAAAGCCUGAAGUUCUCGGCAGUACCUUCCUAAUUGGCUUCAUUGUUUGGUUAUUGUGCUUAGAGCAGUUAGCAUUUGCAUUUCCAAUGGACCAGCCUGACAUUUCAGUUCCCUUUAAAUGACCCUUAAUGGUUUUCUAUGCUUCAGCAUAACCAGCGAAUCCACUCUUGGGGGUGAUUGUUACACUUACAAAAGAUGAUCCUCAAUGGCAACUAUUGUGUCUGCAGUGACAAGUGAACCAUAAUGAAGAGUGGAAUAAAACCAUGAUUCAUCUUCGGAGGCUGCCUCAGAGGGAAUGUGGGCUCACUCUUCCCCUCCUGAAGAAGGUACAGCAGGAUACUUCAAUCCCGAUCUCCAUGGGCCUUGCCAUCUUAGCAACUGACCUACCUAGUAGAGGCCAUGCAUGCCUAUUACCUAUCGCCUAGCUUCCUGCUCACCUUUCAGAAUUACAUCUGCAGUGCCCUACUGGAGACACAUCCACAAAGCAGGAAAUGCUGAUGGGCUCCCAGACCUUACUCAUGAAAAGGAAUUUUGUUGCCCCUGAACUGAAAGCUUGCUGACUCUCCACAAGAAAGGCUUUCUCCAUUCCCAUGGCUGUGUGCCAAUAAGGAAAUAGGACAAGAUUUAUGAGCAUGGCCCAAAAUGCCACAGCAGAGUUAGAAUAAUUUUUAAAAAAUAUAUUAAAAAGCAGAAGAAUUGGUCUUGAGUUGACACAGAUUUGCCGAUGACUCAAUCACCUUUUAUUUUAAGGCAAAGUAUCUUUCUUGGGAGAGAAUAAAUGAACCAUUCCUCCGAUGUCUACCGUCACUUUGUUUUGAGGAACGAUGGUGGAGUGCCACCACGGA